AGUGAACGCUGGCGGUAGGCCUAACACAUGCAAGUCGAACGGCAGCACAGUAAGAGCUUGCUCUUACGGGUGGCGAGUGGCGGACGGGUGAGGAAUACAUCGGAAUCUACUUUUUCGUGGGGGAUAACGUAGGGAAACUUACGCUAAUACCGCAUACGACCUACGGGUGAAAGCAGGGGAUCUUCAGACCUUGCGCGAUUGAAUGAGCCGAUGUCGGAUUAGCUAGUUGGCAGGGUAAAGGCCCACCAAGGCGACGAUCCGUAGCUGGUCUGAGAGGAUGAUCAGCGACACUGGGAGUGAGACACGGUCCAGACUCCUACGGGAGGCAGCAGUGGGGAAUAUUGGACAAUGGGCGAAAGCCUGAUCCAGCAAUGCCGCGUGAGUGAUGAAGGUCUUAGGGUUGUAAAGCUCUUUUACCCGGGAUGAUAAUGACAGUACCGGGAGAAUAAGCACCGGCUAACUCCGUG
rnacentral:rRNA from 1 species